ACGCGAAAAACUUCAGUCAUGUAUAGACUAUGUGCCUAUAUAUGUAUGCAUCUCCCUUCAUUCUAUUAAAAUGAACAUUUGCCCUCCCUUUUACAUUGGAGUUGAAAACCGUAAAAACCACUAAAAGUUUCAUGCAUGAUUCAAGAGCACUCUUCUCCGUUAAGAAUUAUAAUAUUUUUGAGUUUUAUUGUAUGUUUGUAUUAAAUUUUUUUAUUUGUAUGUGUUUGUAUAUUUAAAUAUAUAUAUAUGUUUUCCAGUGAACUCGCUAAACUCAUUCUGUAUGCAGUUGCUCGCACUGUUGGCAAUUUUUGACGCAUCUGGUCAAUUGAAUAUUCAAGCACCACUUCAAAAGGAGGCAUUUUAACGCUUGACUAAAAGUUUACAGUGAAAAGAUUAAACUGGAGUAUAUAAGGACACUAUAAAUCUAUCAAAAUGGGUAAGUGAUAUUAAAUACAAUCGUAACUGCAUUGUGUACUAUUUAAUAUUUUAUAGAAUAAUUUUCUUCUUUAAUAUUAUUAAUUUAUUGGAACUAGAAUUAAGUUAGAAGAAUUAUUAUAAGAAACGCAACAAAAUGUAGAACAUCUCGUUUGAACAUUCAUUGGCAUUACAAUAGGAAUGUUCUAUUAUAUUAUAUAUAUUAUAACUAUACACAAAUGUAAUCGGUAUUAUUGAAUGAAUAGCGCUUCGGACUCCUAUUAUUCUUCCCACUACUAAAUAGUUAGAAAAAGUCAAUAUUAACUGAAAACGUGCGACAUGGCAGCCAAUGUAUUAAAUGUAUUGAAACCUUUGUUUCACACCUGUGAACGAUACAUUUCGAAAAUAAAACAAAAUUUGGAAUUAUAUGGAAAUAUAGCAUAAUAUUAGUAUGCAACGCUACCAUGCAUACUCACUGCUUGCAUCCUGAAUGCAAACUUCCACGAUUUGCACCAAGCGCGCUGAAACGCAUUGUAGGGGUUAGGGAUGGCAAAAAAAUUUUUUUAAUCGAUUAAAUAAUCAAAUGAUUAAUUGCAAGAUUUAAAAAAAUAAUUGCAAUUAAUUCCAAUUAAUGUAAAAAAAUCGAUUAAUCGAGUAAUUCCAAUGUUUGCAACUUUGCGUAAAAAUAAAACUAAUAAAAUAUAGGAGACUAUAUUCUUAUUUCAGACAUUCAAAUUGUGUUCGUAUAUACACAAAAACAAAAACGGAAAUAAAAUUAAAAUAUCAUAUUAAAAAUUCAUUUGUCUUAGCAUAAAGGAAAAUAUAUUCAUUGAAUAUAUUCAGAAAAUUUAGAAGUCUGUUCAACCAAGUUUGAAGAAAAAGCCAUUUCGAUAAACUUUUUGUUGUCAAACGAUUGCGUUUUUCGGUCGUAGUUGCACCCGCUUUUGAGAAAAGCCGCUCAGCUGGUACUGAGGUACCAAGUAGAUGACAAUACUUUUUUGAAAGUCCGUACAGUUUGGGUAAACGGUUUUCAUUUCUUCCCAAGCAUAAAUAGUGUUUCGACUUAGUUCUAAUACCUGACAAUUCAAAUAAAAGCUCAAUUCAUCUUGUGGAGAUGUAAAAUCGUUGUCCUUCCUCCUUCUUGUGUGCACUAGAGUGCACAAAAUGGUGUCAGUGUCAUCAUCACUUAGGGAAACAUUGUCUUUACUCCAAGAUUGCAGGGUCUAAUUUGUACACAUAUAUUUAUAUAUAACUAGAAGAAAUUUCAAAUGUAAUACCGAUUGCUCCGACUUACCACCAAUUUGCAGGCUACAGUUGCAUGCUUUAAUUUUAAAUGCUGCAACAUAUUUGAAGUGUUAUUAGAAAAUUUUAAAUUUUUGCAGCAAAGUUGACAUUUAACGUAGUUAUUGCUUAUUUUAUUAAAAAAAUGUCCACACUUCGCUUUUAACUGGCGCCAUUGCUCUUCAAACAACUGAACGUAAAAUGCGUUUGACUUAACUGUAAAUGCAGUGUUACCAGACAUUCAUUUGUUGAUAUUAAACUACGUUGACAUAUUAGAAUGUAACUAUGUUUACACCGUUUGCAAUUUCGACCCUUGUAGCUAACUUAGAUGAACAUAAAAUGUAUUAAAUUUCAAAAUGCUGUUUCUGAUUAUUUUGCAAUUACUCGAGUAAUAGUCCUCAGGGUGCCAAAGAACAUGUGUUCCAAGUUUCAUUAAGAUAUCUUACUUUUUACUCAAGUUAUCGCUUGCACGGACAGACGGACGGACAGACAUCCGGAUUUCAAAUCUACUCGUCAUCCUGAUCAUUUAUGUAUAUAUAACCCCAUAUCUAACUCUUAUAUUUCUUGGUGACACAAACAACCGUUAUGUGAACAAAACUAUUAUACUCUGUGCAACAGGUUGCGAGAGUAUAAAAAGUAUGCACCACUCACAUGCCUACUCUAUGCUUUUGUGUUAGUGACGCCAGAGGAAAUGCUUCCAAACCGUAGUGCAGUGAAAAAUGGCGCCCUAAUGCGGUAGCUAGGGCAGCGCUAGGCACUGCAGUACGGUGAUCUGGUACAGGGAUCGCAUUGCAGUGCAGAAUGGCGCCCGAAUGUAGGGGCUAGGGCAGCGCUAGGCA